rnacentral:rRNA from 1 species
AUUGAACGCUGGCGGCAGGCCUAACACAUGCAAGUCGAACGAGUGGCGGACGGGUGAGAAAUGUCUGGGACACCGCCCGAUGGAGGGGGAUAACUACUGGAAACGGUCGCUAAUACCGCAUACCAUCGGAGGCGCCCAGAUGGGAUUAGCGUGUAGGAGGGGUAACGGCACACCUAUGCGACGCUCCAUAGCGGGUCUGAGAGGAUGACCAGCCACACUGGGACUGAGACACGGUCCCGACUCCUGCGGGCGGCAGCAGUGGGGAAUAUUGCACAAUGGGCGCAAGCCUGAUGCAGCCAUGCCGCGUGUAUGAAGAAGGCCUUCGGGUUGUAAAGUACUUUCAGCGAGGAGGCGUUACUCACAGAAGAAGCACCGGCUAACUCCGUGCCAGCAGCCGCGGUAAUUG